rnacentral:rRNA from 1 species
AGAGUUUGAUCCUGGCUCAGGAUGAACGCUGGCGGCGUGCCUAACACAUGCAAGUCGAACGAGUCGCAAGACUAGUGGCGAACGGGUGAGUAACGCGUAGGAAUCUGCCCCGAACCGGGAAAUACCCAGCCGAAAGGUUGGCUAAUGUCCCAUAGUCCCGCAAGGGUAAAGUUUCGGCGGUUUGGGAGGAGCCUGCGUCCUAUCAGCUUGUUGGUGGGGUAAUUGCCUACCAAGGCUUUGACGGGUAGCUGGUCUGAGAGGGUGGUCAGCCACAAUGGGACUGAGACACGGCCCAUACUCCUACGGGAGGCAGCAGUUGGGAAUCGUACACAAUGGAGGAAACUCUGAUGUCGCGACGCUGCGUGGAGGAAGAAGGCUUUCGGGUUGUAAACUCCUUUUGUCAGGGACGAUGAUGACGGUACCUGACGAAUAAGCACCGGCUAACUACGUGCAGCAGCGCGGUAAUAC